rnacentral:rRNA from 1 species
UACGGAGGGAGCUAGCGUUGUUCGGAAAUACUGGGCGUAAAGCGCACGUAGGCGGCGCAGCAAGUCAGGGGUGAAAUCCCGGGGCUCAACCCCCGGAACUGCCUUUGAUACUGGUAGUCUCGAGUCCGAGAGAGGUGAGUGGAAUUCCGAGUGUAGAGGUGAAAUUCGUAGAUAUUCGGAGGAACACCAGUGGCGAAGGCGGCUCACUGGCUCGGUACUGACGCUGAGGUGCGAAAGCGUGGGGAGCAAACAGG